rnacentral:rRNA from 1 species
GAUGAACGCUGGCGGCGUGCCUAAUACAUGCAAGUCGAGCGAACGGACGAGAAGCUUGCUUCUCUGAUGUUAGCGGCGGACGGGUGAGUAACACGUGGAUAACCUACCUAUAAGACUGGGAUAACUUCGGGAAACCGGAGCUAAUACCGGAUAAUAUUUUGAACCGCAUGGGUCAAAAGUGAAAGACGGUCUUGGUGUCACUUAUAGAUGGAUCCGCGCUGCAUUAGCUAGUUGGUAAGGUAACGGCUUACCAAGGCAACGAUGCAUAGCCGACCUGAGAGGGGGAUAGGCCACACGGGAAGUGAGACACGGUCCAGGCUCCUGCGGGAGGCAGCAGUAGGGAAUCUUCCGCAGUGGGCGAAAGCCUGACGGAGCGACGCCGCGUGAGUUAUGAAGGUCUUCGGAUCGUAAAACUCUGUUAUUAGGGAAGAACAUAUGUGUAAGUAACUGUGCACAUCUUGACGGUACCUGAUCAGAAAGCCACGGCUAACUACGUG